rnacentral:rRNA from 1 species
CAGUCGCCGCGGUAAUACGAAGGGGGCUAGCGUUGCUCGGAAUUACUGGGCGUAAAGGGAGCGUAGGCGGACAUUUAAGUCAGGGGUGAAAUCCCGGGGCUCAACCUCGGAAUUGCCUUUGAUACUGGGUGUCUUGAGUAUGAGAGAGGUAUGUGGAACUCCGAGUGUAGAGGUGAAAUUCGUAGAUAUUCGGAAGAACACCAGUGGCGAAGGCGACAUACUGGCUCAUUACUGACGCUGAGGCUCGAAAGCGUGGGGAGCAAACAGGAUUAGAUACCCCUGUAGUCCCUGUCUCUUAUAC